UAUUUGCACUGUAAUCACACCAUAUUUAUGUGCCACUUAUUUUUCUUCCUAUGUGCUCAUCUUUUCUGUUGGUUGUUAUUUUUAGGACACACUGAUGUCGAAAGGAAUUGUUCACCUGUCAUGAAUUUGAUACUAUUACUGAUAUCACCAGCUGUCCAUCCAGCAAGAUGGGUAAAGUGCUUGCAGACUUUCUUCAGGAUAUUCCAGCUAGCAGUAUCCGAGCUGAUGAUGUAUUAUUUGAUGAAAAGAGUGCAAUACUUUUGCUUGCAUUCCUAUCUUCAUAUCUGACUAAUGACAAAAGAUUGGAUCAACUAAAGAAUUUUAUCAAUACGAGGUUGGACCACCAAAGCCUGG